GACGAACGCUGGCGGCGUGCUUAACACAUGCAAGUCGAACGGAAAGGCCCUGCUUUUGUGGGUUGCUCGAGUGGCGAACGGGUGAGUAACACGUGAGUAACCUGCCCUUGACUUUGGGAUAACUUCAGGAAACUGGGGCUAAUACCGGAUAGGAGCUCCUGCUGCAUGGUGGGGGUUGGAAAGUUUCGGCGGUUGGGGAUGGACUCGCGGCUUAUCAGCUUGUUGGUGGGGUAUUGGCUUACCAAGGCUUUGGCGGGUAGCCGGCCUGGGAGGGUGGCCGGCCACAUUGGGCCUGAGAUACGGCCCAGACUCCUACGGGAGGCAGCAGUGGGGAAUAUUGCACAAUGGGCGGAAGCCUGAUGCAGCAACGCCGCGUGCGGGAUGACGGCCUUCGGGUUGUAAACCGCUUUCGCCUGUGACGAAGCGUGAGUGACGGUAAUGGGUAAAGAAGCACCGGCUAACUACGUG
rnacentral:rRNA from 1 species